UACGUAGGCGGAAAAUUAAGUCAGUGGUGAAAUCCUGCAGCUUAACUGUAGAACUGUCAUUGAUACUGGUUUUCUUGAAUACAGUUGAGGUAGGCGGAAUGUGUAAUGUAGCGGUGAAAUGCUUAGAUAUUAUACAGAACACCGAUUGCGAAGGCAGCUUACUAAACUGUUAUUGACGCUGAGGUACGAAAGCGUGGGGAGCGAACAGGAUUAGAUACCCUGGUAGUCC
rnacentral:rRNA from 1 species